AAAUCGUGAUGAGGGCACUUUCUUAAUAGGUCCUUGAAUCUUUCCCACGCUUCAUACAUGCUCUCUUGAUCAUGAUGAGCAAAUGUCAUUAUCUCAUUGCGCAACUU
rnacentral:snoRNA from 1 species